ACUCAAAGGAAUUGACGGGGGCCCGCACAAGCGGUGGAGUAUGUGGCUUAAUUCGAUGCAACGCGAAGAACCUUACCAGGGUUUGACAUGCACUGUGUCGGGGAUGAAAGUUCCCUAGCUGUAGCAAUACAGCGCUUUGCACAGGUGCUGCAUGGCUGUCGUCAGCUCGUGUCGUGAGAUGUUGGGUUAAGUCCCGCAACGAGCGCAACCCUUGCGUCCUGUUGCCACCCCUUAAUUGGGAGCACUCUGGACGGACUGCCCUGUGAAACGGGGAGGAAGGUGAGGAUGACGUCAAGUCAGCAUGGCCCUUACACCCUGGGCUGCACACGUACUACAAUGCUCAGUACAAUACGAGCCGAAACCGCGAGGUGGAGGAAAUCUCAAAAACUGAGCCCAAUUCGGAUCGCAGGCUGCAACUCGCCUGCGUGAAGCCGGAAUCGCUAGUAAUGGCGUAUCAGCUACGACGCCGUGAAUACGUUCCCGGGCCUUGUACACACCGCCCGU
rnacentral:rRNA from 1 species